GCAGAACAUUCUGGAAAGUAUAACCAUAGAGGGUGAUAGUCCCGUAUGCGAAAAACAAACCUUAGCUAGCAGUAUCCUGAGUAGGGCGGGACACGAGGAAUCCUGUCUGAAUCCGGGUCGACCACGAUCCAACCCUAAAUACUAAUACCAGAUCGAUAGUGCACAAGUACCGUGAGGGAAAGGUGAAAAGAACUGAGGUGAUCAGAGUGAAAUAGAACCUGAAACCAUUUGCUUACAAUCAUUCAGAGCCCUAUGUAGCAAUACAGGGUGAUGGACUGCCUUUUGCAUAAUGAGCCUGCGAGUUGUGGUGUCUGGCAAGGUUAAGCAAACGCGAAGCCGUAGCGAAAGCGAGUCUGAAUAGGGCGCUUAGUCAGAUGCUGCAGACCCGAAACGAAGUGAUCUAUCCAUGAGCAAGUUGAAGCUAGUGUAAGAACUAGUGGAGGACUGAACCCAUAGGCGUUGAAAAGCCCCGGGAUGACUUGUGGAUAGGGGUGAAAGGCCAAUCAAACUUCGUGAUAGCUGGUUCUCUCCGAAAUAUAUUUAGGUAUAGCGUUGUGUCGUAAUAUAAGGGGGUAGAGCACUGAAUGGGCUAGGGCAUACACCAAUGUACCAAACCCUAUCAAACUCCGAAUACCUUAUAUGUAAUCACAGCAGUCAGGCGGCGAGUGAUAAAAUCCGUCGUCAAGAGGGAAACAACCCAGACUACCAGCUAAGGUCCCUAAAUCUUACUUAAGUGGAAAACGAUGUGAAGUUACUUAAACAACCAGGAGGUUGGCUUAGAAGCAGCCAUCCUUUAAAGAAAGCGUAAUAGCUCACUGGUCUAGUGAUUUUGCGCGGAAAAUAUAACGGGGCUAAAGUAAGUACCGAAGCUGUAGACUUAGUUUACUAAGUGGUAGGAGAGCGUUCUAUUUGCGUCGAAGGUAUACCGGUAAGGAGUGCUGGAGCGAAUAGAAGUGAGCAUGCAGGCAUGAGUAGCGAUAAUUAAUGUGAGAAUCAUUAACGCCGUAAACCCAAGGUUUCCUACGCGAUGCUCGUCAUCGUAGGGUUAGUCGGGUCCUAAGUCGAGUCCGAAAGGGGUAGACGAUGGCAAAUUGGUUAAUAUUCCAAUACCAACAUUAGUGUGCGAUGGAAGGACGCUUAGGGCUAAGGGGGCUAGCGGAUGGAAGUGCU
rnacentral:rRNA from 1 species